UAUUUCUCCCUACGGGGAAGGAUGAGAAGCUUCGAUUAAGGUUCGAUUCGAGCGCUGCGAGAAAGCGUUGCCGCAGGCAACGACCCGAAGGGCGAGGAGCAAUACGACGAGUUAUCCUUACCCCAUACGCA
rnacentral:sRNA from 1 species